rnacentral:rRNA from 1 species
UGCUUAAAGUAAAUAGCCGCAGUAUUUUGACUGUGCUAAGGUAGCAUAAUCAUUAGUCUUUUAAUUGGAGGCUGGUAUGAAUGGUGAGACGAGAAAAUAACUGUCUCUAAUAAAGUUCUUGAAUUUCAUUUCUAAGUGAAAAAGCUUAGAUUAGUUUGGAGGACGAUCAGACCCUUUGGAGCUUUAUUUAAUAAAAAAGUUGAAUUUAUUUGAGAUAAUAAACUGUUUUAUUAAAUUUUGUUGGGGCGACAGAGAGUAAAAAGUAUCACUCUUUUUAUUAAACAGAAUUAUCUGGAUUUUUGAUCCUUAAAGUAAGAUUAAAAGACUAAGUUACCCUAGGGAUAACAGCGUAAUCUUUUUAGAGAGUUCAUAUCGAUAAAAAGGUUUGCGACCUCGAUGUUGGAUUAAGAAAUUAGCAAGGUGCAGAAGUUUUGCUGGAAAGUCUGUUCGACUUUUAAAUUCUUACAU